UCAGAUUGAACGCUGGCGGCGUGCUUAACACAUGCAAGUCGCGCGUGAAAGGACUUCGGUCCGAGUAAAGCGGCGCACGGGUGAGUAACGCGUGGAUGAUCUACCCAUGAGUUAGGAAUAACGGCUGGAAACGGUCGCUAAUACCAAAUACGCUCCGAUUUCAACUUCGGGGGAAAGGUGGCCUCUGCUUGCAAGCUACUGCUCAUGGAUGAGUCCGCGUCCCAUUAGCUAGUUGGUGGGGUAACGGCCCACCAAGGCGACGAUGGGUAGCCGGUCUGAGAGGAUGACCGGCCACACUGGGACUGGAACACGGCCCAGACUCCUACGGGAGGCAGCAGUGGGGAAUAUUGCGCAAUGGGCGAAAGCCUGACGCAGCGACGCCGCGUGAGGGGAAUGAAGGUCCUCGGAUCGUAAACCUCUGUCAGGAGGGAAGAACCGCCACGGUGCUAAUCAGCCGUGGUCUGACGGUACCUCCAAAGGAAGCACCGGCUAACUCCGUGCCAGCCGCAGC
rnacentral:rRNA from 1 species